CUUGCGGUGUUGCAGAGUCUUUGCUCCUACUUUCACCGGUUGGUAUCUGUCAUUGUGUUGGUGGGUUGUCUUCGUUUUGGCCGUCUGAACUCUUAUUCAGGCUCAAAAUCAAGUCUUUUUAACUGGACAUCGCUUGAUUUUACUGAACAUCUCAAGUUUUCUGGCUUUUCGUUCUCUUUUUGAUGGUGGUUGUGCUGUGACAUUUGAGAUAGGAAAAGAUGGGGGACAAAGGUGAAGUUUUGGAGGCUGUGUUGAAGGAAACUGUGGAUUUGGAAAACAUACCCAUAGAGGAAGUGUUUGAGAAUCUGAGAUGUAGCAAAGAAGGUCUGACAACUAAGGCUGCUGAGGAGAGGCUGACCAUUUUUGGCCACAACAAGCUUGAAGAGAAAAAGGAGAGCAAAUUCUUGAAGUUUUUGGGAUUCAUGUGGAAUCCUUUGUCAUGGGUGAUGGAGGCUGCAGCUAUUAUGGCUAAUUCUCUUUGAUGGAGGAGGGAAACCUCCAGAUUGGCAAGACUUUGUGGGUAUUAUUACUCUGCUUUUGAUCAACUCGACUAUCAGUUUUAUUGAAGAAAACAAUGCUGGUAAUGCUGCUGCCGCUCUCAUGGCUCCCCCCCNUCGCUCCACAAGCUAAGGUUCUUCGAGAUGGAAGGUGGAGCGAGCAGGACGCUGCUGUUUUAGUUCCUGGUGACAUUAUUAGCAUCAAACUUGGAGAUAUUAUUCCAGCUGAUGCUCGUUUAC
rnacentral:misc_RNA from 1 species